UCCCGUGUAGCUCAGUUGGUAGAGCGUGGCGCUUGCAAUGCCAGGGUUGUGGGUUUGAUUCCCACAGGGGAC
rfam:Salmo salar isolate Sally breed double haploid chromosome ssa07, whole genome shotgun sequence.